AUAUACCCCUACAGUAUGUCUAAGAAUGUUUGUUGUUGGGCUUCAAUGCCUUUAAACUUAAUACAACUUUCAACAACGGAUCUCUUGGCUCUCGCAUCGAUGAAGAACGCAGCGAAAUGCGAUAAGUAAUGUGAAUUGCAGAAUUCAGUGAAUCAUCGAAUCUUUGAACGCACCUUGCGCUCCUUGGUAUUCCGAGGAGCAUGCCUGUUUGAGUGUCAUGAAAUUCUCAACCUUUUCAGCUUUCUUUGUUGAUCAGGCUUGGAUGUGGGAGUAUGCGGGCUUCUCAGAAGUCGGCUCUCCUGAAAUGCAUUAGCGGGACCUUUGUUGCCUGGCUUUGGUGUGAUAAUUAUCUACUCCAG
rnacentral:rRNA from 1 species